rnacentral:rRNA from 1 species
AACGAACGCUGGCGGCAUGCCUAACACAUGCAAGUCGAACGAGACCUUCGGGUCUAGUGGCGCACGGGUGCGUAACGCGUGGGAACCUGCCCUUAGGUUCGGAAUAACUCCCCGAAAGGGGUGCUAAUACCGGAUAAUGUCUUCGGACCAAAGAUUUAUCGCCUUUGGAUGGGCCCGCGUUGGAUUAGCUAGUUGGUAGGGUAAAAGCCUACCAAGGCGACUAUCCAUAGCUGGUCUGAGAGGAUGAUCAGCCACACUGGGACUGAGACACGGCACAGACUCCUACGGGAGGCAGCAGUGGGGAAUAUUGGACAAUGGGCGAAAGCCUGAUCCAGCAAUGCCGCGUGAGUGAUGAAGGCCUUAGGGUUGUAAAGCUCUUUUACCCGGGAUGAUAAUGACAGUACCGGGAGAAUAAGCUCCGGCUAACUCCGUG